UUUGUGUUUCGUUCUUUUUUUGUGGUGGAUGUUGAUUGGAUUUUUGUGCCGUAUAAAAGUGCAUUUUUCACCUGAAAGAAAGUGCUAAGUGUGCAUAAAUUUAGUCAAAUUGUGAACUUUUUGUGCCCCCAAGGGCAUUUGUGGUGAAAUUUUCCUGGGAAAAGAAGCCCUGAGGGCAGGAAAAUGAUGUAGAUUAGUUGAUCCUGGAAAACUGUGUCAGUGAAUGGAAAAAUCCUCCGGGAAGGCCGUUCAACUGAUUUCCAAUGUAAGUCCUUUUUAAUUUUUCUCAUUUUCCUUGCCAAAUGAUUCAUUUUGGGGAUUUAAGAACAGCUUUGGAGACUUUAUCCAAGACAGAAAGUGUCUUGGGUUUUGAGUCUUGGGAGUUCCAAUUGGAAUUUUUCAGUGUUCCCUCCCAUCUGUUCCCAAUAGGAAAUUUAUGGAUAAAAUUUUCCCAGGAUAGUUUCUAACAAUUCGACGAGUUGUAUCCUUAUCCGGGAAUUGUGCUCUUGCUAAUGUGACAUUGCUAACCCUUUGGAUAAUGUGCCUUCAC